GAUAAGUAGUGGCCAGGGGCCGGUGAGAUACGAAGGGGCCAAGUGGUUAUCGGAAUGUCGGGGGUUGAGUGGGUCGCAGGCGGUUGGGCAAGACCGGUGUGAAAUCCCCGAGAUGAACGUGGGAAAUGCACUGGGGACUGCAAGGGUAGAGUGUGUCAGAGGGGUGUAGAAUUCCACGUGUAGCAGGGAAAUGCGUAGAGAUGUGGAGGAAUACCGAUGGCGAAGGCAGCCCCCUGGGAUAACACUGACGCUCAUGCACGAAAGCGUGGGGAGCAAACAGGAUUAGAUACCCGGGUAGUC
rnacentral:rRNA from 1 species